UGAAUACGAGACGCUACGGCGUCGAAGCAGUCGAUGUCAUACUUCCAAGAAAAGCUUGCAAUGUCAUAAACAAAUAAUGCCUGUACCAUAACCGACACAGGUGGGUAGGUAGAGUAUACUAAGGGGCGCGAGAUAACUCUCUCUAAGGAACUCGGCAAAAUGACUCCGUAACUUCGGGAGAAGGAGUGCCUUAUUUAUAAGGUUGCAAUAACAAGAUCCAAGCAACUGUUUAUCAAAAACACAGGUCUCCGCUAAGUCGUAAGACGAUGUAUGGGGGCUGACGCCUGCCCAGUGCCAGAAGGUUAAAGAAGUUGGUUAGCAUCCGCGAAGCUGAUAACUGAAGCCCUGGUGAACGGCGGCCGUAACUAUAACGGUCCUAAGGUAGCGAAAUUCCUUGUCGGGUAAGUUCCGACCCGCACGAAAGGCGUAAUGAUUUGGAUACUGUCUCGGAGAGGGACUCGGUGAAAUAGACUUGUCUGUGAAGAUGCGGACUACCUGCACCUGGACAGAAAGACCCUAUGAAGCUUUACUGUAACUUGAAAUUGAAAUUGGACUUUAUUUGCGCAGUAUAGGUGGGAGGCGUUGAGAAUAUUCUUGCGGGAAUAUUGGAGCCAUCAGUGAGAUACCACUCUUGUAAUGUUAGAUUUCUAACUUUGCAUCAUUAUCUGGUCAAAGAACAGUUUCAGGCGGGCAGUUUGACUGGGGCGGUCGCCUCCCAAACGGUAACGGAGGCGUACAAAGGUUUCCUCUGAACGGGUAGAAAUCGUAUCUAGAGUGUAAAGGCAUAAGGAAGCUUGACUGUGAGACCUACAAGUCGAGCAGGGACGAAAGUCGGUCUUAGUGAUCUGACGGUGCUGAGUGGAAAGGCCGUCACUCAACGGAUAAAAGUUACUCUAGGAUAACAGGCUGAUCUCCCCCAAGAGUUCACAUCGACGGGGAGGUUUGGCACCUCGAUGUCGGCUCAUCGCAUCCUGGGGCGGUAGUACGUCCCAAGGGUUGGGCUGUUCGCCCAUGAAAGCGGUACGCGAGUUGGGUUCAGAACGUCGUGAGACAGUUCGGUCCAUAUCCGGUGUAGGCGUUAGAAUAUUGAGAGGAGCCUUCUUUAGUACGAGAGGACCGAGAAGGACAUACCUCUGGUGUACCAGUUAUCGUGCCAACGGUAAACGCUGGGUAGCUAUGUAUGGAGAGGAUAACCGCUGAAAUCAUCUAAGUGGGAAGCCCACCUCAAGAUAAGUAUUCUC
rnacentral:rRNA from 1 species